rnacentral:ncRNA from 1 species
CCCCCCAGGCCUCUCUACGAUGCUCAACACCGGGGGC